UUGUUUCCAUUAAAGCAGCCGUCUGCAUUGUAUUGGGAGAUGAUUCCAGAACUAUGAGAUGGAUAGAGUAAAAUGAUCUUGCUUGACGCAACGAUUUUCCCUGCAGGAUCGAUCGAUAAAGCACGCCAUCACGUGAUGGAAGAGACCUUGGCCAGACCCCCCCCCCCCCGUCUGCUCCACUAGUGUCAGGCUAAUGGAGUCUGGUUUGUCUGGAAUGGCGCGUGCAUUAUGGAAACACAACCGGGGUUUUAAUGUAUGCAUUAUGGGGGCAGAGAUGUGUACUUAUGUGGAGUCUGCGGUUGUGGAACUAGGAAGUGAAUGGCAAGGUCAAAACAUAAAGUGAAAGCGUGAAAUAAUGUGCUCAAACAUUAUAGGAAAUCUACAACGAAGUCAAUCAAUAAUACCCUCAAACAUUAGAGGAAGUCUACAAGGAAAGCAGACGGAAAGAGAGAACAUUCAUUCCUCAAGGUGCAAACUGCAAUGGCAACGUGCCCUUUAGGUGUAUCGUCUCCUGGGUAUCUGAAAGCAACACGGUCUUUACUUUUCCAGCGACUGACCUGAUAACCUGGUCUGUAAUUAAUAAGGUGAGGGGAUAAUUAGUAAUUAGUUACAGCCGUAAUUUACAUCCAGUGAGCUCAUUAAAGUGUCAUCCAUACUCCAGUAUUGAAAAGACGCUUAAAAUGUGUAUCAACAAGAUAGCCAACAACAGACUUAAAGUCACUCUUACAAAAACGUGCGUGAUGGUUUGAAAUGAGAUUGAAUGAGAUUACCUCCCUUCCUACACAUAAAAAGAUAUCAUUUGCUUAAACCAAAGCUAGUGGUAUACGUUUUACAAGAAGCAAAUGAAAACCCUUUUUUUUUUUUGUAAAACGAUACUAGUUAAAUAGAGUAAGAUGUUUCAUUGUAAAUAUUUAAUUUUUUUUUAUAUUAGUUUACAAAAUAUAGCUGUAUUUUUUAUUUCUUUUCAAAACAAAAACAAAACCUAUUUCGAAACCGUUUUUAAGUUAAUUUUACAGAUAUAAUAAGAGUACCCCUGUAAUCCUACCCGAGGUGGAUGUCUGUUUGUUUCACAAUACAUUUUGAG